GACGAACGCUGGCGGCGUGCUUAACACAUGCAAGUCGAACGGAAAGGCCCUGCUUUUGUGGGGUGCUCGAGUGGCGAACGGGUGAGUAACACGUGAGUAACCUGCCCUUGACUUUGGGAUAACUUCAGGAAACUGGGGCUAAUACCGGAUAUGAGCUCCUGCUGCAUGGUGGGGGUUGGAAAGUUUCGGCGGUUGGGGAUGUACUCGCGGCUUAUCAGCUUGUUGGUGGGGUAGUGGCUUACCAAGGCUUUGACGGGUAGCCGGCCUGAGAGGGUGACCGGCCACAUUGGGACUGAGAUACGGCCCAGACUCCUACGGGAGGCAGCAGUGGGGAAUAUUGCACAAUGGGCGGAAGCCUGAUGCAGCAACGCCGCGUGCGGGAUGACGGCCUUCGGGUUGUAAACCGCUUUCGCCUGUGACGAAGCGUGAGUGACGGUAAUGGGUAAAGAAGCACCGGCUAACUACGUG
rnacentral:rRNA from 1 species